rnacentral:misc_RNA from 1 species
CAAACUUGGUCAUUUAGAGGAAGUAAAAGUCGUAACAAGGUUUCCGUAGGUGAACCUGCGGAAGGAUCAUUAUUGAAUAUUCUUGAAUGGGGGGUUGUCUGCUGGUCUUUAUUUGGAAAAAAUAAAAGGCAUCGUGCACACCUCUUGUUCAAUUUUUCAUUAAUUUAUUAUACCCCUUUGUGCAUUCUCUUGUAGGGUGUGGUUUUUCACAGCUGGAAGGCUGUGGAGAACGUGUUAUGUGUUGUAAACACACACAUCCUAUGUUUUUCAUAUACUCUGAUGUAUGUGUUUGGAAUGUUUAUACCAGUGCAUAAAUAAUGCAUUUAUAUACAACUUUCAGCAACGGAUCUCUUGGCUCUCGCAUCGAUGAAGAACGCAGC